rnacentral:rRNA from 1 species
AGGGAUCAUUAUAGAGUUUUCUAAACUCCCAACCCAUGUGAACUUACCUUUUGUUGCCUCGGCAGAAGUUAUAGGUCUUCUUAUAGCUGCUGCCGGUGGACCAUUAAACUCUUGUUAUUUUAUGUAAUCUGAGCGUCUUAUUUUAAUAAGUCAAAACUUUCAACAACGGAUCUCUUGGUUCUGGCAUCGAUGAAGAACGCAGCGAAAUGCGAUAAGUAAUGUGAAUUGCAGAAUUCAGUGAAUCAUCGAAUCUUUGAACGCACAUUGCGCCCAUUAGUAUUCUAGUGGGCAUGCCUGUUCGAGCGUCAUUUCAACCCUUAAGCCUAGCUUAGUGUUGGGAAUCUACUUCUCUUAGGAGUUGUAGUUCCUGAAAUACAACGGCGGAUUUGUAGUAUCCUCUGAGCGUAGUAAUUUUUUUCUCGCUUUUGUUAGGUGCUAUAACUCCCAGCCGCUAAACCCCCAAUUUUUUGUGGUUGACCUCGGAUCAGGUAGGAAUACCCGCUGAACUUAAGCAUAUCAAUAAGCGGAGGAAAAGAAACCAACAGGGAUUGCCUUAGUAACGGCGAGUGAAGCGGCAACAGCUCAAAUUUGAAAUCUGGCCCUUGGGUCCGAAUUGUAAUUUGUAGAGGAUGAUUUUGGUGCGGUAUCUUCCGAGUUCCUUGGAACAGGACGCCUUAGAGGGUGAGAGCCCCGUACGGUUGAAUGCCUAGCCUCUGUAAAUCUCCUUCGACGAGUCGAGUGGUUUGGGAAUGCUGCUCUAAAUGGGAGGUAAAUUUCUUCUAAAGCUAAAUAUUGGCCAGGGACCGAUAGCGCACAAGUAGAGUGAUCGAAAGAUGAAAAGCACUUUGAAAAGAGGGUUAAAUAGCACGUGAAAUUGUUGAAAGGGAAGGAUUUGUGACCAGACUUUUUCUGGGCGGAUCAUCCGGGGUUCUCUCCGGUGCACUUCGCCCAGUAAAGGCCAGCAUCGGUUUUCGGCGUGGGAUAAAAGCAGUAGGAAUGUGGCUCUCUANCGGGGAGUGUUAUAGCCUAUUGUAUAAUACCGCGCUGGGGACCGAGGU